UUUUUUACGAACGCCUGGCGGCAGGCCUAACACAUGUCAAGAUCGAGCGAUCCCUUCGGGGAUAGCGGCGGACGGGUUAGUAACGCGUGGGAAUAUGCCCAAAGGUACGGAAUAGCCUCUGGAAACGGAGAUUAAUACCGUAUGUGCCCUUCGGGGGAAAGAUUUAUCGCCUUUGGAUUAGCCCGCGUUGGAUUAGGUAGUUGGUGGGGUAAUGGCCUACCAAGCCUACGAUCCAUAGCUGGUUUGAGAGGAUGAUCAGCAACACUGGGACUGAGACACGGCCCAGACUCCUACGGGAGGCAGCAGUGGGGAAUCUUCGGCAAUGGGCGCAAGCCUGACCGAGCCAUGCCGCGUGAGCGAUGAAGGCCUUAGGGUUGUAAAGCUCUUUCGCCAGGGAUGAUAAUGACAGUACCUGGUAAAGAAACCCCGGCUAACUCCGUGCCAGCAGCCGCGGUAAUACGUAGGUGGCAAGCGUUAUCCGGAAUUAUUGGGCGUAAAGCGCGCGCAGGUGGUUUCUUAAGUCUGAUGUGAAAGCCCACGGCUCAACCGUGGAGGGUCAUUGGAAACUGGGAGACUUGAGUGCAGAAGAGGAAAGUGGAAUUCCAUGUGUAGCGGUGAAAUGCGUAGAGAUAUGGAGGAACACCAGUGGCGAAGGCGACUUUCUGGUCUGUAACUGACACUGAGGCGCGAAAGCGUGGGGAGCAAACAGGAUAGAUACCCUGGUAGUCCCACGCC
rnacentral:rRNA from 1 species